GCACAAGCGCAUCCAGCCGUCCAUUGCAGUGGAGUUUCUCUCGAGCCUUCCUUCCCUGCUCUUAUCCCCUUCCUCCGGCCAAGAUCCCCAUUGCAGCGGAGUUCUUCUCGAGCCUUCCUUCCUUGCUCUUAUCCCCUUCGUCCGGCCACCUAGUAGGAUCCGAUCGCCCUCUCCCUCAGCGGCCUCUCCCUCGGCUUGGCUUCCUUCUUCUCUGUGAGACGACAUUUGCUCCCACGGCAAACUCCUCUCCAGCGCCUGCUCCCUGCAGCAGCAGCCCCGCGAGCGCCACGCUCCUCCAUGCCAUCGAAGCCCUUUCCAGUUCCCCCAGCUACGUGGAGCUGACCUACGCAGACGGUAGCCCGCAGCUGAGAUUGGUGAUGCUUCAUCUACUCAGUCAGCAUCUGCCCAUCUGUGUUUCCUUACUGCGACAACACGUCCUCAUCAAGCAGUUGCUUAAUUAGAGUGCGCUCAACAACUUACAUAGAGGAUCUUCAAGGAAACUAUCAGAUGGACAAAUCGUGCAAGCGGAAGGCUGCUCAUACAGGUUCUCAGCUAGGAAGCUCCAUUUCAGAAUCUCUCCUUCCUUCACAAAGAGUGGUCAGACGACGAGCCCUGUUAUCUUCAGGUAAAUCAUCAGUUUUGCUGCUUCGUAAUGCUAACCGCCACUUUGCUUAUUGCAUCACGUUUUUUCCCCAACAUUGAAUUGCUACAAUGUAAUUUUUAUUCCACCAAUGAUUCAUUAAUCUUUCCUUGCAAUAGAUUUGUCAUGUCUAAAGCCACCUGAAUAGCUUCAUGCUCAACCAAACUGUGCCUAUUUUCAGAGUUACAAACACCAAUUUACAUUUUUUGUUUCCAAUAGAUAAAGCAUCGUCAAUUCCCAGUCCGUGUAUCCUAUGCCAUGGCAAUAAACAAAAGCCAAGGACAAACACUUAGCAAAGUUGGCGUCUAUUUACCAAGCCCCGUAUUCUCUCAUGGCCAACUUUAUGUUGCUUUCUCACGUGUUACAUCGCCUACGGGCUUACGUGUGCUCAUUGAGAACAGCUCUGAGGGGUACGAAAACCAGACGCAUAAUGUGGUGUACAGAGAUUUUCAAUGACAUAAGCUAGAGUAAUUAUUAGUUCCAGGUACCACUGUUACACAGUUACUUUCUUUACUUGCCCAUGCUUCUUAUAUACACUUCAUACUCAGAAUGUUUGUUUUGAUAUAUUUGAUAAUCAUACCGGCUUAGUUUUCUUUACCAAUGCAGAUGCUUGCAAUAAUUUCCCUAUGUUGUACAGGUCUCCUACUUUUGGCUGUUUCCAUUCCAAGCCACUUGAUCAUCUAUUCCUCCGUUGAUCGAACAUAUUCUACCAAUAUGCUUAUAGGCAAUCUAACAGAUGCCGCGGUAACGCGGGGGGUACUCGCUAGUUGGAAAAGAAUUUGAUGGAAGAGCACCCUCUAGGUCCGAAACCACAUUCGCCAUGGACGGACAGUCAAUGCCCCGAAGAACAACGCACUUCUCAGCAGUCUUGGCGAUCUUGUCGAAACUGCACUGAUCAAUGAUCUGAUCAAGAUUGCCCUCCUCCUCGAAUCGCAGUGCCCGACGUGACAACCCUGUUUGUUGGUGAGCACGCCAAGCAUUUAGGACCUUGAACAACACAGCCCCAAAAGAACAGACGUCUGAUUUCUCAGUCAUCUGACCGGUCACCAUGUACUCAUGAUCGAGGUAACCUGCAGUUCCGCGGACCCGUGUUGUAUCUUCUCUUGAUGGCCCAUACCUCGAAUGAGAAAGAUCCGCAAUCUUGGCGAUCCA